rnacentral:rRNA from 1 species
AGAGUUUGAUCAUGGCUCAGAUUGAACGCUGGCGGCAGGCUUAACACAUGCAAGUCGAGCGGAGAGAGGUAGCUUGCUACUGAUCUUAGCGGCGGACGGGUGAGUAAUGCUUAGGAAUCUGCCUAUUAGUGGGGGACAACAUUUCGAAAGGAAUGCUAAUACCGCAUACGUCCUACGGGAGAAAGCAGGGGAUCUUCGGACCUUGCGCUAAUAGAUGAGCCUAAGUCGGAUUAGCUAGUUGGUGGGGUAAAGGCCUACCAAGGCGACGAUCUGUAGCGGGUCUGAGAGGAUGAUCCGCCACACUGGGACUGAGACACGGCCCAGACUCCUACGGGAGGCAGCAGUGGGGAAUAUUGGACAAUGGGCGCAAGCCUGAUCCAGCCAUGCCGCGUGUGUGAAGAAGGCCUUAUGGUUGUAAAGCACUUUAAGCGAGGAGGAGGCUACUUUAGUUAAUACCUAGAGAUAGUGGACGUUACUCGCAGAAUAAGCACCGGCUAACUCUGUGCCAGCAGCCGCGGUAAUACAGAGGGUGCAAGCGUUAAUCGGAUUUACUGGGCGUAAAGCGCGCGUAGGCGGCUAAUUAAGUCAAAUGUGAAAUCCCCGAGCUUAACUUGGGAAUUGCAUUCGAUACUGGUUAGCUAGAGUGUGGGAGAGGAUGGUAGAAUUCCAGGUGUAGCGGUGAAAUGCGUAGAGAUCUGGAGGAAUACCGAUGGCGAAGGCAGCCAUCUGGCCUAACACUGACGCUGAGGUGCGAAAGCAUGGGGAGCAAACAGGAUUAGAUACCCUGGUAGUCCAUGCCGUAAACGAUGUCUACUAGCCGUUGGGGCCUUUGAGGCUUUAGUGGCGCAGCUAACGCGAUAAGUAGACCGCCUGGGGAGUACGGUCGCAAGACUAAAACUCAAAUGAAUUGACGGGGGCCCGCACAAGCGGUGGAGCAUGUGGUUUAAUUCGAUGCAACGCGAAGAACCUUACCUGCCCUUGACAUAGUAAGACUUUCCAGAGAUGGAUUGGUGCUUCGGGAACUUACAUACAGGUGCUGCAUGGCUGUCGUCAGCUCGUGUCGUGAGAUGUUGGGUUAAGUCCCGCAACGAGCGCAACCCUUUUCCUUAUUUGCCAGCGAGUAAUGUCGGGAACUUUAAGGAUACUGCCAGUGACAAACUGGAGGAAGGCGGGGACGACGUCAAGUCAUCAUGGCCCUUACGGCCAGGGCUACACACGUGCUACAAUGGUCGGUACAAAGGGUUGCUACCUAGCGAUAGGAUGCUAAUCUCAAAAAGCCGAUCGUAGUCCGGAUUGGAGUCUGCAACUCGACUCCAUGAAGUCGGAAUCGCUAGUAAUCGCGGAUCAGAAUGCCGCGGUGAAUACGUUCCCGGGCCUUGUACACACCGCCCGUCACACCAUGGGAGUUUGUUGCACCAGAAGUAGCUAGCCUAACUGCAAAGAGGGCGGUUACCNCGGUGUGGCCGAUGACUGGGGUGAAGUCGUAACAAGGUAACCGUA